UUUUCGGGGUAAUCCCUAGGUAACGGCGAGUGAGCGGGAUGAGCUCAAAUUUGUAAUCUGGUGGACUAAGUUCAUCCGAGUUGUAAUCUAUAGAAGUGUUUUCCGCGCUGGACCGUGUCUAAGUCCCUUGGAACAGGGUGUCAGAGAGGGUGAGAAUCCCGUGCUUGAUACGACCACCAGUGCUAUGUGAUACACUUUCAACGAGUCGAGUUGUUUGGGAAUGCAGCUCAAAAUGGGUGGUAAAUUCCAUCUAAAGCUAAAUAUUGGCGAGAGACCGAUAGCGAACAAGUACCGUGAGGGAAAGAUGAAAAGCACUUUGGAAAGAGAGUUAAACAGUACGUGAAAUUGUUAAAAGGGAAACGAUUGAAGUCAGUCGUGCUCUCUGGGACUCAGCCGGUUCUUCCGGUGUACUUCCCAGUGAGCGGGUCAACAUCAGUUUAGAUCGCUGGAUAAAGGUAUUAGGAAGGUGGCUCCCUCGGGAGUGUUAUAGCCUAGUAUCGCAUACAGUGGUUUAGACUGAGGAACGCAGCUCGCCUUUAUGGCCGGGGUUCGCCCACGUCCGAGCUUAGGAUGUUGACAUAAUGGCUUUAAACGACCCGUCUUGAAACACGGAC
rnacentral:rRNA from 1 species